AUGAGGAUGGAAGCUAGAGGAACAUUUCCUACACUUGGAAACAACCACAGCCAUUUUGCAGUGACCCUCACCUGUGCCUAUUUCUCUUUCUCAACAGGGGUGGAAGCUCAGAUGAAGGUGGAGCAGAGUCCUGGGGUCCUUAUCCUCCAGGAGGGGAGAAAUUCCCCUCUGAUGUGCAAUUAUUCUGCCUCCAUGACUGGUAUGCAGUUGUUCCAACAAAAUCCUGGAGGAUGCCUCGUAUCCUUAUUUUACAUAGCUUCUGGAAUGCAUCAAAAAGGAAUAUUAAAACCCACAGUCAAUACCAAGGACCGUUAUAGCCACCUCUACAUCAGAGACUCUCAGCGUUGGGACGCAGCUAUUUACUUCUGUGCGGUGGAGCACCGUGCUCUCCAGACACCUACAGCCUGUGCAGAGACCAUAGCUGAAGACCUAACCUAA